ACGUGUGAACCUAGUGGGAAAAGGAUUAUUUCUUUUUAAGUAAUAAAAUCAAAAUUUGAAGACACUAGUUAUUAUGGGAUAGGAAUGUGAUCACCUUAUUCUUUUAUAUCUAUUAUUAUAAAAGAAAAUAAAAAAAAAUUAAGAGAAAAUAAAAUGGAAAAAGGAAACUUACCAUUUUGUGUUGGUGAGGCUUUAUGAGAGAAUAAUGAUAAAGGGGGAAGGAAAGAGGAGAAGAGCCAUUUGCUCUUGUGGCUGCCGUGACCUAGAGAGAGAGAGAGAGAGAGUGGCGUGUAGAGAGAGAGGGAGAGGAAGAAAGAAAGAAAGAAAGAAGAAGAAGGUGAAGAGGAACCCAUCUUAGAGCUUGAACAAGGGUGUGAAGUUUGGGUGUUGAUCUUAUUGUGUUCUUGAUUUUACAAUCAAGAGAGGUAGCAAAUAGGAUUUCUUUAUGGCACGCGUGGUGACGUGAGGAGUUCUUUCAUCAUGGGGUGUAUGGCGUGGGGUAAUCCUAUGGACGGAACAACGAUCAACGUAGAACGCCAUUUUAAUUAUGUUUUGUUUUUAAGAGACUUUCCUAAAUUAUCAGUGGGACUCAGUUAUUUAAUUUUUGGUUUCUUUGAACUUUGCAUAAAAAUCUAUGUUUUAUUUUAAAACUUAUGGCGCCAACUUGCAUGGUUUUAAACAAGUCCCCCUGAGACUUUGAUAAUGAAUGGUAUUCUUUUAUAAACUA